rnacentral:lncRNA from 1 species
CAUGUGCCAGCCCUUCCCUCCCUCUGCCAACACACUCUGCUUCCACAAGAAAAAUAUGCCAGCAUGUAUGACAAAAUCUGCAAAGGAAGGCGAGUGUGGACAAGUGGCACAAGACCCUGAAGCAAUGAAACAGAAGCUUCCUAAACCUUAACUGAAGGUGUGGGCACUGCUGGAUGGAUGAAAUCAAAGUCUCUGGAAAGCAAAAGAAAACCCAAAAAACAAAGGAGUUUAAAGACCUGAAACUUCUGCGAUAUCAACAUGUUCAGAAGCAAUUUCUGUUCAAAGUUCACAGCACUGCAGAGCAAUCUGAUUCUUAUCCAUUUUGAGUCACUACCCAUUGCCCCCAGCAUUGUCUGCAUAGAAACAGGCAGACAACAUGCUGUUUUUAUAAGAAAUGACUUCAUGACUGAUGUUAACUCAUCUGGAGUUUCUGGAGGGAAAAUGAGUGCAAGGUGCUUGUAGGGACCCUGCCUCCACGCUCCCAUCUGGAAUCGCCUCUGCGUGUUUGAUGAGGAAUUCACAGACCAAGCAAAGCAGCUGCACCAGACACAUGGGAUCCAACACAGAGAAACUCCAGGCUACAGCAGUGCCCAUGAACACACUGCCUCCACAGGGAGGGAAUGGAAAGAAGAAGUCAAAUGAGUAAAUCUCAUGCCCAGCAUGUGGGAUGGAACAAAUCUGCUGUUCUGACUUGGCAUUGUCCUGCACCAGCUUAAUUACCUCCAGUAAGGUGAGCUCAGUGGGGAAACAGGUCCCUUCCUGGCAGAGGUGGUGAUGACAUGUGAGCUAUCCAUUCCCCAUUUAUUUACAGCUUCAUUCAUGGAGUUGGAAAACAGAGCUCAGCACACACACACCUCCGCAGCUUUUAUUUUACAAGUUUGUCAGAUAAUGGUAAAAUGAAGCUUUUGUGCUUGUCUUUUAAAAGCUGAUGACAGCUUUAAAGACCAGUUUUCCUAAGCCCUGCACAGAUUUCUUAAUAAAUAAAAGAAAACUGGAGUCA